GGGCCAAGCAAAGAUGACAGCGGCCCUGCCCUACGGAGACGGUUGACACGCAUGCUCAUUUACGUGAGACCGACUUCAUCCUGGGAAUCUUUUCGGCGGGACCAGUCUAGUAAUGAACCUGGACUUGAUGUACUAUCUACUGAACUAGGAUAUUGUGCUGUGUAUUUUGCAUUAAGGAGGAUCCAUCAGCUCACUAACACGGGUGAUGGACAGGGACCAAAGAGGAGGCUCUACAACAUGAGGACAGACUGCGAUCCUCAAGCAGUCAGUCCAUGAGCCCACGUCUUCAGGCCAGGGACCCGAGAGGAAAAACAAGCAUUUGAUUACCACUCUCGUAUAAGGUCAGUCCAUAAAAAUCAAAUGUGUGUGUGUGCGCGUGCCCGCCCGCCUAUGUUUCUGAGUGUGCAUGUGCUACAAGCAAACUUAUGCCAAUUUUUUGUUUCGUUUUUCUUGAUUAUUUAGGUAAAUCAGUGAAAUAAUAUAAUUUGCAUAAUACUGAACUUUUUAACCCUGUGUAUAUGUACAGCAGGACAUAAACAUUUGACAUUUGAUCUCACUCUCGUUACAGGUCAGUCCAUGUGCCACGUUCCAGCCAGGGACCAAAAGGGGGGCUUU